UAAAUCCCAAAUUUCACCUCGGUAAUGAUUUUUACCGAGUUUGUCCAGUAAUUCUUAAUUUAAACCGGAAGCUCAGUAAAGAAAUUCACAAUUUACCGAGUUCCGUAGUAAUAUAUACUGAUGCCUCAGCACUCUAAAGUAAAAUACUAGACUCGGUAAUGUAAAUUACCGAUUUAUUCGGUUUUUAUUGAAACUUUCAAUUCUGUCAAAUAAUUCUACGGAGCACUCGGUAAAAAAAAUAAAUUUUACUGAUCAUACGGUAGCUUAUUAACCGACCUCUCUGUUUCCGAAAGGCUUUCGUGACGCUUGAUGUGCCGCCAUAUUUGUCCACAAAAGUUUUCUUCGAGCUAGUGGUUUCAGCGCUUUUCGUUCAUCAAAAUUUGCAAAUUUCAUCCAGUUGUAAUGGAAACAAUUGCAUUAGAUCAACUCUUCCGGAAUUCGUUUAUUGUGCGUUGAUAGUUCGUCCUCUUCAAAUUUAAUUAAAUAUUUCGGAAAUCGACAGCAUCAGCAUCCAUUUUUUUGCCUCAGGUUGAAAAAUUCUACAUUUAAGUAGCACAAAAUGUUUUUGUAAGGAAAACGCCCUGCCAAUAUAACUCCUCGUUAUUAUCAAAUCGAA